rnacentral:rRNA from 1 species
UACAAGGAAGACAAGUGUUAUUCAUCUUUAUUAGGUUUAAAGGGUACCUAGACAGCAUAUCUAGCUAAUUAUUAAAUAUAACAGAUAUGGCUAGAGUUUAAACGUAGGAGGUAUUAUUUGGAACUAUUAGAGGAGAGAUAAAAUAUGUUAAUACUUUUAGGAAUGACACAAGUGAAAACAAACCUCUAAAUUUAAACUGACGUUGAGGACGAAGGCCAGGUAACGAAUAGG